AUUGAACGCUGGCGGCAUGCUUUACACAUGCAAGUCGAACGGCAGCGCGGGCUUCGGCCUGGCGGCGAGUGGCGAACGGGUGAGUAAUACAUCGGAACGUGCCCAGUAGUGGGGGAUAGCUCGGCGAAAGCCGGAUUAAUACCGCAUACGACCUGAGGGUGAAGGCGGGGGAUCUUCGGACCUCGCGCUAUUGGAGCGGCCGAUGGCAGAUUAGCUAGUUGGUGGGGUAAAGGCCUACCAAGGCGACGAUCUGUAGCUGGUCUGAGAGGACGACCAGCCACACUGGGACUGAGACACGGCCCAGACUCCUACGGGAGGCAGCAGUGGGGAAUUUUGGACAAUGGGCGAAAGCCUGAUCCAGCAAUGCCGCGUGUGUGAUGAAGGCCUUCGGGUUGUAAAGCACUUUUGGCGGGAACGAAAAGGACUGUGCCAAUACCACGGUUCGAUGACGGUACCCGCAGAAUAAGCACCGGCUAACUACGU
rnacentral:rRNA from 1 species